rnacentral:lncRNA from 1 species
GGCCCAUUUAAACACCUUGUUUGGCAGGUGGCAUAUGAUUUCUUACCAACCAGAGACCGUCUCCGACAUUAGGGAGUUAAUUUUCAUGACACAUUCGAGGAAAGCUUCCACCUUUUUCUAGACAACCCGUUUGCACGAAAGGCUCCCCUAGGUUUAUAGCAACUUAAACCUCAAAUUUGUUGUCGAUGCAUGCAUUUAGAAUUUGAUUUAGAGAGUGUAAUCGUCGGAGUCGGCGGCUGAAGCGAGGAAGAGUCUGCAUUAGAAGUGGGAUUUUGAUCUUAGAAACUGAGGGGGAUUGACUGUUGGACAAAGAUCGAGAUGACAAUUUAAAUCUUCCAUACCUAAAUCGCCGAUUGCAAUAAAUGAGAAAGAGGUUCUUGAUUUUUUAAGAGAAAUUGACAUAAAAAGCUACAGAUACAAUGAAUUGAAAAAGAGAAUAUCUAAGAGAUAUUACUACAUCCGGGUCUCCGAGGCGGAUAGUAUAAUACAGGCACCGCUGCUUCCUGGUCUCUGAGGCAUAAACCCCUAUUAACACAGGACAGGCUCGGGUGGGUAGCUAGUUUGCCGGAUUUCAAUGCCAAGCGUACUCCUCUCUUCCAUGCUCCUUUGGGCUACUUUGCUUUUUUACUUUGGCAUUGGACUUUGAUGUCGAUUGCAGAUUCAAGUACUUUGUGAAUUGUAAAUUAUUGCAAAAAUUCAUCAGUAGUAAGUCAGCACCAGUAACUAACCAAAUCAUCAACCUUACACCAAAACAAUCAAAUAAAAGUAGCAGCAACAACACAUCCAUAUUCCUACAGCAGGAAGUCAGCAACACCGCCAUAUUCAAGCAGCAGCAACAACAAACCCUAAAUGAACAGAUGAAAUGGAUUGUUUAUUCAAGCAAGUAACAAAUCGGCCAGUUUAAAGACCUGUUAGUCACUCACCUAUAGAUAGUGCAAAGAUAGAGGAUUAAAAUUUGAAUCCAUCAGCAGAUCCAUCUCCCUUUUUGUAGAUGAGAACCAUUGAUGGAUUGAAGAUGGAUUCAUGGACUCCAUGGAUUGGAAACUGGAAUCACCAACAUAAGGGGACUAAUAGAGCCAUCAUAGAGUAGAAUCUUUGGGGUUUCUUGAUUAUAGGAGAGGAGAAGAUUGAAUCAGUGAUUUGAUUUGAGGAAUCAGCGAUUUGAAUGAGAAUGAUGAUUGAUGAAUUUGAAUACGAGGGUUUCGAAAAUCUGAACACAACCCGAAUAAUUACCCCUCUGGGUCGCUUGGGCGGAUCUAGCCUUCCAGAACCCUGCUUGAGCCCGAUAGAUACGGGUGGCGGGUAAGCCCGGACUCGACUAAUAAUCUGGUCAAACCGGGCCGAGGGCGGGCGGGCUUCUGAGGCACCGGCUUUUUAUGCCAAGCCUAAUUCCAC